GAAAAAUUUAAUUUGGAUUGGCCCUCUUAUAAAAGUAAUUAUCGGUCGUGCACUUAUAAAAAGAACAAAAAACUGUCUUUUAUCAAGGAUAAUUUCUUCCGCCAACGACUUCUUGAUGAAUGAGUUGGAGGGGAAAGCAAAAACGAUGCAAUGACAGAUGCAUGUAAUUGAUAAAUAACGCAUCAAGAAAUUGUGAUUUCUGUCUUUCUCAUGUUGGCAGGAUUGGAGAGUUGUGGCAAGCAGUUUUCAGCCAACUUCCAGAAGGCACCAUCUUCAGGGCCUUCAUAGCUUGGUCGGAUUGGGGAGGAUGUGGUCAGCAGUUUUCAAACAACUCUUUUCAGAAAGGCGCCAACUUUAGGGCCUUCACAGCGUUGCCCAAUCAACCUUAUCAGGCACGGCCAAGCAAUGCUGAUCACCGCCAUUUGACUUACUACGAUUAUCAUGGCAGCAGACUUCACUGUCCAAUAUUUGAAAUUGAAAACUUGUCAAAACUAGCCUUUGGAGCCAAUUUUCAGUGAUGAUAUCAACCUGCCAGUUCACUAGAGUGAGAAAUGGGAGACUAAAGAGAUGGAGCAUCAACUACACCAAGCACUUAGAGUUGAAGAGCAAAGCCUGUCACAACGGUUUCUUCGAUGCACAAGUCCUAUUAUAAUCAAGGUUCAGCCUAUCUUUAAAGUUUUGUGGAGCUGGGGCCAAGACUGUCUUGGCUGAUAAGGUCAACAGAUCAGGUGGAUAGAGCACAUUUUAAUGCCUAAUUCUCUAUAAUGUUGUUAUCACCGAGGAAGGGAUAAAGGGCUUGAGGAAGAGUUCAAUGAUACAAAUGAAGUCACGAGUCCUUCCAUUUUUACUGAUAUUGGCUUCAUAUAUUUUUGUCUCUUUA